UACGGAGGUGGCAAGCGUUGUUCGGAAUUACUGGGCGUAAAGGGCGCGUAGGCGGCUAAUCAAGUCAGAUGUGAAAGCCCCGGGCUCAACCUGGGAACUGCAUCUGAAACUGAAUAGCCUGAGUUCUGGAGGGGGUAGUGGAAUUCCCAGUGUAGCGGUGAAAUGCGUAGAUAUUGGGAGGAACACCUGCGGCGAAGGCGGCUACCUGGACAGUGACUGACGCUGAGACGCGAAAGCGUGGGGAGCAAAC
rnacentral:rRNA from 1 species